UGCACCUAUAGCGCAAUUGGAUAGAGCGUCUGACUACGAAUCAGGAGGUUGCAGGUUCGACUCCUGCUAGGUGCAU
rnacentral:tRNA from 15 species